ACUGUCCUUUUCUUGGGGUUGCACUACUGUCCAGUAAGCUCAUAGUGAGACGGUACUGCUAACACCUACACAGCAUGCCCGCAUCAAUUAGAGCUUUGCUUUACAUUGGUGCAAGUUUUAGAAAA
ensembl:snRNA